AGAGUUGAUCAUGGCUCGAGGACGAACGCUGGCGGCGUGCUUCAUACAUGCAAGUCGAACGAGAAUCUGGUGCUUGCACCAGAGGAAAGUGGCGGACGGGUGAGUAAUAUGUAGAGAAUCUGCCCUUAGCGGGGGACAACAGUUGGAAACGACUGCUAAUACCCCAUAUGAGCGUAGCUGAGAUGCUAUUCUUGAAAACUCCGGUGCUAAAGGAUGAGUCUGCAUCUGAUUAGCUAGUUGGCGGUGUAAUGGACCACCAAGGCGACGAUCAGUAGCUGGUUUGAGAGGAUGAUCAGCCACAAUGGGACUGAGACACGGCCCAUACUCCUACGGGAGGCAGCAGUAGGGAAUUUUGCGCAAUGGGCGAAAGCCUGACGCAGCAACGCCGCGUGACCGAUGAAGCCCUUCGGGGUGUAAAGGUCUGUCAGUGGGGACGAAACUUGACGGUACCCACAGAGGAAGCAUCGGCUAACUCCGUGCCAGCCGCGGC
rnacentral:rRNA from 1 species